rnacentral:rRNA from 1 species
GUAGGUAAACCGCGGAAGGAUUUUA